UUACGGCCACAUCAUUUUGAAACACCCUGUCCCGUACAAUCACCGAAGUUAAGCAACUUCGAGCAGUGUUAAUACUUAGAUGGGUGACCGCUUGGGAAUACCAGAUGG